rnacentral:rRNA from 1 species
UCGUAGAGCGUCACGGGGAUGUUGGCGCGCACCAGGCCAACGGCGAGGGUGGCGCCGGCAAUGCCGCCACCGACGAUGGCGAUGUCGUAGUCGCAGGGCGAGUUGUGGACCAUGGUGGCAGGCAGAGUGUCUUGUUGCUAAGGCCAAGCCGAUUUGAGAAUGAUCAAACAACGGCGAGCUGAACCCAGCCAGUGGUGUUCGUCACGGAGACAAGUCCUUGAACGUUCCACCAGAUCAUGCUGCGCCAAUUUCAGACUACAUGUAGCACGGAUUGCUCGCUAUUGCUUACGAGCCACGAGCCUUUCGGAGACGGAGCAACUGUAGCGAGAGCGCAGUGUGCCGCUUUCCGCGAUCGUGUUCCCUAGGUAGUGGAUGGCUUGACACGAGCAGCCCACAUUUCAGAAUUGGCACUGCUGGGAUUGCUCGUCUCCGCUUGCGGGCCACGAUCCAUAAAGAGCGCGCCGGGGGUUCCCGGUGGUACAUGUUGCAGCCAUGCGUCUGUCACAUGCAGCCGGGGCAGUCAUGCAAGGCCAAGCAACCAGCUUCACGUUGGAAGUGUGGGGUUCCUGGUAUUCAGGAAGCUCCUCUUCACGCACUGCUCAUCGUUUGGACCAAAUAUAUCACUUACAUAUUGGACACUUAUACCAUACACAUGAAUAAGAAAGACAGCACGCCAGCGGAAGUCGUGAGAGUACAUGUUGCUCUUGUGAAGGAUAGGAGAAGUUAGUGGCAAAAUAUGGAGAUGAUUUGUGGUUAGGAGUGAAAGGCUAAUCAAACUCAGAGAUAGCUGGUUUUCCGCGAAAUCUAUUGAAGUAGAGCAUUUAAAAUCUUUUUUUGGGGUAGAGCACUCAUUGAGCUAGGGGGCGUAAAAACUUACUGAAUUCUUGGAAACUCCGAAUACAAAAAAACGUUAUUUAAAUAGACAGACAUUAGGCGCUAAGGUCUAUUGUCAAGAGGGAAACAGCCCAGAUUGAUCGCUAAGGUCUCUAAAUAAUAUUCUAAGUGAAAAAGGAAGUGAAAAAAUAAUUACAACCAGUAGGUAGGCUUGGAAGCAGCCAUCCUUUAAAGAAAGCGUAAUAGCUCAUUGGUCUAGUUUUUUUGCGCCUAAAAUGUAUCGAGACUUAAGAAAUUUACCGAAGCGGCAAGUUUUAUUAAAAAAUAAAACGGUAGCGGAACAUUCUGUAUGUUAAUAAAGAUAUAUUGUGAAAUAUAUUGAAGAUAUCAGAAAAGAAAAUGCUGGCAUUAGUAACAAAAAAUAACGCACAAGAAUCGUUAUCACCGUAAAUCCAAGGGUUUCUAUGUUAAAAUGUAUUGCAUAGAGUGAAACGGCCCCUAAGAAAGAUUUGACGAAAGCAAAUUUUGAUGGGAUAAUUUUUAAAUUAAAUUUUUUAAAAAAGUGACAAAAAUUUUGUAAUUUUUCAGGAAAUAACUUUUUUAAUUAAAAACCGUACCCUAAACCGACACAGGUGGAUAGGUCGAGUAGACUAAGGUGAAUGAGAGAACUAUAUUGAAGGAACUCGGCAAAAUGACUUUGUAACUUCGGGAUAAAAAGUACCUAAUUAUUUUUAAUAAUUAGGUGUCACAAAAUAGGGGGUUGCGACUGUUUAAUAAAAACUUAGGACUCUGCUAAAUGGUAACAUGAUGUAUAGGGUCUGACACCUGCCCGGUGCUGGAAGAUUAAAAGGAAAUGUUUGCGCAUUAAAUGGAAGUCCCAGUAAACGGCGGCCGUAACUCUGACGGUCCUAAGGUAGCGAAAUUCCUUGUCGGGUAAGUUCCGACCUGCAUGAAUGGUGUAACGACAUCCCCGCUGUCUCCAAUAUAGACUCAGUGAAUUUGAAAUAUCCGUGAAGAUGCGGAUUCUCUAUAGUUAGACGGAAAGACCCCGUGAACCUUUACUACAUCUUUAUAUUGUUAUUUUAUCUAAUAUGUGUAGCAUAAGUGGUAAUUGUUUAGACCUUUACGCUAGUAAAUUGUUUAGAUACUCUUGAAAUACCACUCUUAUUAAAAUAAAUAACUAAUAUUUUUUAAAUAGACAGUGUAUGGUUGGUAGUUUGACUGGGGCGGUCACCUCCUAAAGAGUAACGGAGGUGUACAAAGGUAAGCUCAAAUUGGAUAAUAGUAUCAAUUGUAGAGCGUAAUGGUAAAAGCUUGCUUGACUGUAAGAUAGACAUAUCAAACAGGGACGAAAGUCGGUCAUAGUGAUCCGAUAAUUCUUUGUGGAAAGAUUAUCGCUCAACGGAUAAAAGGUACUCCGGGGAUAACAGGCUGAUGACUCCUAAGAGCUCCUAUCGACGGAGUCGUUUGGCACCUCGAUGUCGACUCAUCACAUCCUGGAGCUGAAGAAGGUUCCAAGGGUUCGGCUGUUCGCCGAUUAAAGUGGUACGUGAGUUGGGUUUAGAACGUCGUGAGACAGUUUGGUUCCUAUCUUCUAUAGAUAUUUUGAAAAAUGAAAGAAUCUAACUCUAGUACGAGAGGACCGAGAAGGGUAAAUCUCUGGUGUAUCGGUUGUUGCAAGGCAUCGCCGAGUAGCUAAAUUUAUUUUGGAUAAUUACUGAAAGCAUCUAAGUAAGAAACCAUUCUUAAAAAUUUUUUAUAUAAAAACUGUAAAAGAUGAUUACAUUGAUAGGUUUUAAGUGUAAGUAUUGUAAAAUAUUUAGCUUAAAAAUACUAAACGUUUUAAAAAUUUAAAUAU